UAUUGGCGGCUGUUUUUCCAUGCAGUCGAACGGCAGCACGGGGGCAACCCUGGUGGCGAGUGGCGAACGGAUGAGUAAUGCAUCGGAACGUGCCCAGUAGUGGGGGAUAACCAGUCGAAAGAUUGGCUAAUACCGCAUACGACCUACGGGUGAAAGCGGGGGACCGUAAGGCCUCGCGCUAUUGGAGCGGCCGAUGUCUGAUUAGCUAGUUGGCGGGGUAAGAGCCCACCAAGGCGACGAUCAGUAGCUGGUCUGAGAGGACGACCAGCCACACUGGGACUGAGACACAGCCCAGACUCCUACGGGAGGCAGCAGUGGGGAAUUUUGGACAAUGGGCGCAAGCCUGAUCCAGCCAUGCCGCGUGCGGGAAGAAGGCCUUCGGGUUGUAAACCGCUUUUGGCAGGAACGAAACGGCGAUUCCUAAUACGAGUCGUUAAUGACGGUACCUGCAGAAUAAGCACCGGCUAACUACGUGCCAGCAGCCGCGGUAAUACGUAGGGUGCAAGCGUUAAUCGGAAUUACUGGGCGUAAAGCGUACGCAGGCGGCUUUGCAAGACAGGUGUGAAAUCCCCGGGCCUAACCUGGGAACUGCAUUUGUGACUGCAUGGCUAGAGUCUGUCAGAGGGGGGUGGAAUUCCACGUGUAGCAGUGAAAUGCGUAGAGAUGUGGAAGAACACCGAUGGCGAAGGCAGCCCCCUGGGAUGAGACUGACGCUCAUGUACGAAAGCGUGGGGAGCAAACAGGAUUAGAUACCCUGGUAGUCCACGCCCUAAACGAUGUCUACUAGUUGUCGGAGGGUAACUCCUUCGGUAACGCAGCUAACGCGUGAAGUAGACCGCCUGGGGAGUACGGUCGCAAGAUUAAAACUCAAAGGAAUUGACGG
rnacentral:rRNA from 1 species